rnacentral:rRNA from 1 species
AUUGAACGCUGGCGGCAGGCUUAACACAUGCAAGUCGAACGAGAGGCGGACGGGUGAGUAAUGCUUGGGAAUCUAGCUUAUGGAGGGGGAUAACUACGGGAAACUGUAGCUACUACCGCGUACCAUAGGAUGAGCCCAAGUGGGAUUAGGUAGUUGGGGAGGUAAAGGCUCACCAAGCCGACGAUCUCUAGCUGGUCUGAGAGGAUGACCGGCCACACUGGGACUGGGCCACGGCCCCGACUCCUACGGGAGGCAGCAGUGGGGAAUAUUGCGCAAUGGGGGCAACCCUGACGCAGCCAUGCCGCGUGAAUGAAGAAGGUCUUAGGGUUGUAAAGUACUUUCAGCGGGGAGGCGUUACCCGCAGAAGAAGCAACGGCUAACUCCGUGCCAGCAGCCGCGGUAAUAC